rnacentral:rRNA from 1 species
GCUUGUCUCAAAGAUUAAGCCAUGCAUGUCUAAGUGUAAAUACGUCUACACUGUGAAACUGCGAAUGGCUCAUUAAAUCAGUUAUAGUUUAUUUGAUGGUUCAUACUACUUGGAUAACCGUAGUAAUUCUAGAGCUAAUACAUGCGUCAAAACCCGACUCCUGGGAGGGUUGUAUUUAUUAGAUGGAAACCAAUGCGGGGCAACCCGGUAUAUGGUGAUUCAUAAUAACUUUCGGAUCGAUCUUCGGAUCGAUGCAUCAUUCAAGUUUCUGCCCUAUCAGCUUUGGAUGGUAGGGUAUUGGCCUACCAUGGCUUUAACGGGUAACGGAGAAUUAGGGUUCGAUUCCGGAGAGGGAGCCUGAGAAAUGGCUACCACAUCCAAGGAAGGCAGCAGG